CACAUGGCAUAUGGGGUCUUAGUUCCAGAACCGAGGAUUGAAUCUGUGCCCCCUGCAGUGGAAGCACAGAUUCUUAAUCGCUGAACCACUGGGAAAUCCCCAGACGUUUGUUUUUCAAAACCUACCAGGAGGAAGCAUGAACGCAGUUCCUCCCUACUACAAAUUAUGCAGCCGAGUUCCCCACGUUUGGGGAAAUGGCAGGGGUCAGCACACCUGGAGUGCAAUGGAUGAGCCUUGCCCUGGGAAAACCACCUUCAUGCUCAUGGUAUCUCCCCUGCUGGUUUAAGGAGACCAAAGAGAUGUAAACAUUAAUUCCAGGGCAGAAGACCUGAAUAUACAUUUUUCCAAAGAAGACAUAGAAAUGGCUAUUUGGCAUGUGAAAAGAUACUCAGCAUCACUAAUCACUGCAUGUGUGCUCAGCCACUUCAGUCGUGUCUGACUCUUUGUGACCCUGUGGACUGUAGCCCACCAGGCUCCUCUGUCCAUGGAAUUCUCCAGGCAAGAAUACUGGAGUGGGUUGCCAUGCCCUACUCCAGGGGAUCUUCCCAACCCAGGGAUCAAACCUGCAUCUCUUACGUCUCCUGCAUUGACAGGUGGAUUCUUUACCACUAGUGCCACCUGGGAAGCCCCACUAAUCAUUACAGAAUCAUUAUAGAAAUGUAAAUUAAAACCACAGUGAGAUAUCACCUCACACCUGUCAGAAUAGCUAUCAUCAAAAGUAUAGUACAGAUAACAAAUUUUGACAAGGACGUGGAGAAAAGGGAAUACUUGUGCGUUGUUGGCGGGAAUGUAAACUAGUGCAGCCGUUGUGGAAAACGGUAUGGCAGCGUCUCAAAAAAACUGUAUAUAUAUAUUGCUGUAUGACUCAGCAGUUCCACUCCUGGAUUUACAUCCAAAGAAAACAAAAACACUAAUUCAAAAAGACAUGCAUCCCGAUGUUCAUAGCAGCAUUAUUUGUAACAGCCAAGAUAAGGAAACAACCUACAUGUCCAUCAAUAGAUGAAUGAAUGAAGAAGAUGUGGUCCACGUAUACACAAUGGAACACUACCCAGCCAUACAAGAAGAAGGAAAUUCUGCCAUCUGCACCAACAUGAAUGGACGGCGGCACGCCAGGUUUCCCCUGUCCUUCACAAUCUUCUGGAGUUUGCUCAAACUUGUGACCACUGAGUCGGUGAUGCCAUCCAACCAUCUCAUCUUCUGUCAUCCCCUUCUCCUCCUGCCUUCAGUCUUUCCCAGCAUCAGGGUCUUCUCCAAUGGGUUGGCUCUUCGCAUCAGGUGGUCAGAGUAUUGGAACUUCAGCUACAGUCCUUCCAAUGAAUAUUCAGGGUUGAUUUCCUUUAGGAUUGACUGGUUUGAUCUCCUUGAUGUCCAAGGGAUUCGUCAAAUAUAUGUAGAAUCUAAGAAAUAAAGCAAACAAGUGUAUAACAAAACAGAUGCAGAGAACAAAGUAGUGGUUACUAGUGGGGAUAAAGAGGGGAAGGGGCAUGGGAUUAAGAGGUUCAAACUACUGUGUAUGAAAUAAAUAAGCAACAAGUAUAUAUUAUACAACACAGAGAAAUAUAGGCGUUAUUUUGUAAUACCAAAUGGAACAUAAUUUGUAAAAAAAUUGAAUUACUAUGUUGAACAUGUAUAACUAAGAAAAUACUGUAAAUAAACUAUACUUUGAUUUUUAAAGAAUUUUAAAAAA
ensembl:lncRNA